UACGUAGGGUGCAAGCGUUGUCCGGAAUUAUUGGGCGUAAAGAGCUCGUAGGCGGUUUGUCGCGUCUGCUGUGAAAACCCGAGGCUCAACCUCGGGCCUGCAGUGGGUACGGGCAGACUAGAGUGCGGUAGGGGAGAUUGGAAUUCCUGGUGUAGCGGUGAAAUGCGCAGAUAUCAGGAGGAACACCGGUGGCGAAAGCGGCGCACUGGACCACUUCUGACGCUGAGGCGCGAAAGCUAGGGGAGCAAACAGG
rnacentral:rRNA from 1 species